AUUGAACGCUGGCGGCAUGCCUAACACAUGCAAGUCGAACGGCAGCACGGCAGUAGCAAUACUGUGGGUGGCGAGUGGCGGACGGGUGAGGAAUACGUCGGAAUCUGCCCAGUCGUGGGGGAUAACUAGCCGAAAGGUUAGCUAAUACCGCAUACGACCGAGAGGUGAAAGCGGGGGACCGCAAGGCCUCGCGCGAUUGGAUGAGCCGACGUCGGAUUAGCUAGUUGGUGGGGUAAAGGCCCACCAAGGCGACGAUCCGUAGCUGGUCUGAGAGGAUGAUCAGCCACACUGGAACUGAGACACGGUCCAGACUCCUACGGGAGGCAGCAGUGGGGAAUAUUGGACAAUGGGCGCAAGCCUGAUCCAGCCAUGCCGCGUGAGUGAUGACGGCCUUAGGGUUGUAAAGCUCUUUCGCCAGGGACGAUAAUGACGGUACCUGGAUAAGAAGCCCCGGCUAACUUCGUGCCAGCAGCCGCGGUAAAGUCG
rnacentral:rRNA from 1 species